ACCCUUUCCCAAGGCUUACAUAUGCUGAAGCAAUGAGUCGAUAUGGUUCAGACAGACCAGAUACUCGUUUUGAUGUUGAAUUGCGAGAUGUGUCCGACAUUUUCUCCAAUACCACAUUCAAGGUUUUCUCAGAUGCCUUAGAAAGUGGAGGAAUUAUUAAGGGCUUAUGUGUGCCAUGUGGGACAAAAACUUACUCAAAUACUGCUUUGAAGAAAGGCGACAUUUACAAAGAAGCAAUCAAAUCUGGAGCAAAGGGUUUGCCUUUUUUAAAGGUGUUGAAUGACGGGAGCAUUGAAGGGAUUCCAGCGCUGGUUUCUAGUUUGGAUACAUCAAAGAAAGAGGAAUUGCUGAGUCAAUUCUCUGCAUUACCAGAUGAUCUUAUCUUGUUUGCUGUUGGGCACCAUGCAGAAGUAAAUAAAACAUUGGAUCGUCUGAGAAUAUAUGUAGCACAUGAACUGGGUUUAAUUGACAAUGCAUUCAAUACUUUGGG
rnacentral:misc_RNA from 1 species